UGAGGAAUAUUGGUCAAUGGACGGAAGUCUGAACCAGCCAAGUAGCGUGCAGGAUGACGGCCCUAUGGGUUGUAAACUGCUUUUGUAUGGGGAUAAAGUUAGGGACGUGUCCCUAUUUGCAGGUACCAUACGAAUAAGGACCGGCUAAUUCCGUGCCAGCAGCCGCGGUAAUACGGAAGGUCCAGGCGUUAUCCGGAUUUAUUGGGUUUAAAGGGAGCGUAGGCUGGAGAUUAAGUGUGUUGUGAAAUGUAGACGCUCAACGUCUGAAUUGCAGCGCAUACUGGUUUCCUUGAGUACGCACAACGUUGGCGGAAUUCGUCGUGUAGCGGUGAAAUGCUUAGAUAUGACGAAGAACUCCGAUUGCGAAGGCAGCUGACGGGAGCGCAACUGACGCUUAAGCUCGAAGGUGCGGGUAUCAAACAGGAUUAGAUACCCUGGUAGUCCGCACAGUAAACGAUGGAUGCCCGCUGUUGGUACCUGGUAUCAGCGGCUAAGCGAAAGCAUUAAGCAUNNNCCUGGGGAGUACNCCGGNNACGGU
rnacentral:rRNA from 1 species